ACUGCCGGUGACAAACCGGAGGAAGGUGGGGAUGACGUCAAGUCCUCAUGGCCCUUAUAGGUGGGGCUACACACGUCAUACAAUGGAUGGUACAAAGGGUCGCCAACCCGCGAGGGGGAGCCAAUCCCAUAAAGCCAUUCGUAGUCCGGAUCGCAGUCUGCAACUCGACUGCGUGAAGUCGGAAUCGCUAGUAAUCGUGGAUCAGAAUGUCACGGUGAAUACGUUCCCGGGUCUU
rnacentral:rRNA from 1 species